GGUUAAGCGAAUAAGAGCGCACGGUGGAUGCCUUGGCACUAGGAGCCGAUGAAGGACGGAACGAACACCGAUAUGCUUCGGGGAGCUGUAAGUAGGCUUUGAUCCGGAGAUUUCCGAAUGGGGAAACCCACUGCCCUGAACGGGCAGUAUCCUUACCUGAAUACAUAGGGUAUGGAAGGCAGACCUGGGGAACUGAAACAUCUAAGUACCCAGAGGAAGAGAAAGCAAAUGCGAUUCCCUUAGUAGUGGCGAGCGAAACGGGAACAGCCCAAACCAAGAGGCUUGCCUCUUGGGGUUGUAGGACACUCAUCCCGGAAGGGGAGCUGUAGACGAACCGGUUUGGAAAGGCCGGCCAGAGAAGGUAACAGCCCUGUAGUCGAAACAGACCCCCAACCUGAGUGGAUCCUGAGUACGGCGGGACACGUGAAACCCCGUCGGAAUCCGGGAGGACCAUCUCCCAAGGCUAAAUACUCCCUAGUGACCGAUAGUGAACCAGUACCGUGAGGGAAAGGUGAAAAGCACCCCGGAAGGGGAGUGAAAGAGAUCCUGAAACCGUGUGCUUACAAGUAGUCGAAGUCCUCCCCACCCACAAAAGCAGGCUUUUGCGGGGACCCGGGGGGAUGACGGCGUACCUUUUGUAGAAUGGACCGGCGAGUUACGAUCUUAAGCAAGGUUAAGUUGAAGAGACGGAGCCAGAGCGAAAGCGAGUCUGAAUAGGGCGAUAGUUUAAGGUUGUAGACCCGAAACCGUGUGAUCUACCCAUGUCCAGGGUGAAGUUCAGGUAACACUGAAUGGAGGCCCGAACCCACGCACGUUGAAAAGUGCGGGGAUGAGGUGUGGGUAGGGGUGAAAUGCCAAUCGAACUCGGAGAUAGCUGGUUCUCCCCGAAAUAGCUUUAGGGCUAGCCUCGAGGGAAGAGACUUGGAGGUAGAGCACUGAUUGAGUGAGGGGCCCCCACAGGGUUACCGAGUUCAGUCAAACUCCGAAUGCCAAGGACUCAUCCUCGGGAGUCAGACGGCGAGUGAUAAGAUCCGUCGUCGAGAGGGAAACAGCCCAGACCAUCAGCUAAGGUCCCCAAGUAUACGUUAAGUGGCAAAGGAUGUGGCGUUGCCCAGACAACCAGGAUGUUGGCUUAGAAGCAGCCACCAUUUAAAGAGUGCGUAAUAGCUCACUGGUCGAGUGGCGCUGCGCCGAAAAUGUAACGGGGCUAAACGUAUCACCGAAGCUAUGGAUCCCAAUGGGAUGGUAGGGGAGCGUUCUAAGGGCAGAGAAGGUAAACUGGAAGGUUUGCUGGAGCGCUUAGAAGUGAGAAUGCCGGUAUGAGUAACGAAAAGAGGGGUGAGAAUCCCCUCCGUCGAAAGCCUAAGGGUUCCUGAGGAAGGUUCGUCCGCUCAGGGUUAGUCGGGACCUAAGCCGAGGCCGGAAGGCGUAGGCGAUGGACAACAGGUUGAUAUUCCUGUACCACCAGUAGACGUUUGAGCAAUGGGGGGACGCAGGAAGGCAAGGCAAGCGCGCUGUUGGUUAUGCGCGUCCAAGCAGUAAGGCUGAAGGUGAGGCAAAUCCCGCCUUCGUAAGGCUGAGCUGUGAUGGGGAGGGAAUUUUAGUACCGAAGUGCCCGUGCUUACACUGCCAAGAAAAGCCUCUAGCGAGUCUCAAGGUGCCCGUACCCCAAACCGACACAGGUAGGCGAGGAGAGAAUCCUAAGACGCUCGGGAGAACUCUCGUUAAGGAACUCGGCAAAAUGACCCCGUAACUUCGGGAGAAGGGGUGCUUGGCGGGGUGAAUAGCCCUGCUGAGCCGCAGUGAAAAGAUCCAAGCGACUGUUUAGCAAAAACACAGGUCUCUGCUAAACCGAAAGGUGAUGUAUAGGGGCUGACACCUGCCCGGUGCUGGAAGGUUAAGAGGAGGGGUUAUCCUUUUAGGAGAAGCUCUGAAUUGAAGCCCCAGUAAACGGCGGCCGUAACUAUAACGGUCCUAAGGUAGCGAAAUUCCUUGUCGGGUAAGUUCCGACCCGCACGAAAGGUGCAACGACUUGGAUACUGUCUCAACGAGAGACCCGGUGAAAUUAUAGUACCUGUGAAGAUGCAGGUUACCCGCGACAGGACGGAAAGACCCCAUGGAGCUUUACUGCAGCUUGAUAUUGGAUGUCUGUAUCGAUUGUAUAGGAUAGGUAGGAGCCUUUGAAGCCGGACCGCCAGGUUCGGUGGAGGCGUCGGUGGAAUACUACCCUUUCGGUAUGGACAUUCUAACCCGGGACCGUAAUCCGGUUCGGAGACAGUGUCAGGUGGGCAGUUUGACUGGGGCGGUCGCCUCCUAAAGAGUAACGGAGGCGCCCAAAGGUUCCCUCAGAAUGGUUGGAAAUCAUUCGCAGAGUGUAAAGGCACAAGGGAGCUUGACUGCGAGACCUACAAGUCGAGCAGGGACGAAAGUCGGGCUUAGUGAUCCGGUGGCGCCGCAUGGAAGGGCCAUCGCUCAACGGAUAAAAGCUACCCUGGGGAUAACAGGCUUAUCUCCCCCAAGAGUCCACAUCGACGGGGAGGUUUGGCACCUCGAUGUCGGCUCAUCGCAUCCUGGGGCUGAAGUGGGUCCCAAGGGUUGGGCUGUUCGCCCAUUAAAGCGGUACGCGAGCUGGGUUCAGAACGUCGUGAGACAGUUCGGUCCCUAUCCGUCGCGGGCGUUGGAAAUUUGAGAGGAGCUGUCCUUAGUACGAGAGGACCGGGAUGGACACACCGCUGGUGUCCCAGUUGUUCCGCCAGGAGCACCGCUGGGUAGCUAUGUGUGGACGGGAUAAGUGCUGAAAGCAUCUAAGCAUGAAGCCCCCCUCAAGAUGAGAUUUCCCAUGACUUUAAGUCAGUAAGAUCCCUUAGAGAUGAUGAGGUAGAUAGGUCCGAGGUGGAAGUGCGGCAACGCAUGGAGCUGACGGAUACUAAUCGAUCGAGGGCUUAACCUU
rnacentral:rRNA from 1 species